CAGAUUCCUGCCUUCUCCCACUGGCAUGGGAGAAACAAGCUUUCUGCUCUUCCUCCCCUUCACAUUCCUCUACGUGCACCUCUCUGCUGUUACUCUUACAGAAACCAGAAAAGAUGUCAGUUUCUAGAUAGACUCCAGGAUAGGAGAAGCGGAUCGUAAUGGAAGUGAAGUCGGAUGAAUGUGCCCAUUCAGGGAAUCCAAAGCCAGAUUUGUUAGGGAUCUUGGGGUGAAACUGACACGUUAGCAGUGAACUACAGAGAUGCACACGACUACCUGGAUGAUAGCCAAAGAAUUGUCUUGAAUUAAAAAUAAAAUCCAAUCUCCAGAGGCCACACACUACACGAUUGCAUGUGUGUCACAUUCUCAAAAUGCAAAACUAUAGAACUGGAGAAAGUGGUGACUGCCAGAACUUAGGA